rfam:Daphnia pulex DAPPTscaffold_301_Cont8502, whole genome shotgun sequence.
GCACCGAUGGUUCAGUGGUAGAAUACUCGCCUGCCACGCGGGCGGCCCUGGUUCGAUUCCCGGUCAAUGCU